ACCUGGCUGGCUCAGUCAGUAGAGCAUGUGACUCUUGAUCUCAGGGUGUAGGUUUGAGCCCCACAUUGGGUG
rnacentral:tRNA from 1 species